GAUGAACGCUAGCGGCAGGCUUAACACAUGCAAGUCGAGGGGCAGCAUAAUGAAGUAGCAAUACGGAAUUGAUGGCGACCGGCGCACGGGUGCGUAACGCGUAUGCAACCUACCCAUAACAGGGGGAUAACACUGAGAAAUUGGUACUAAUACCCCAUAACAGUUUUCCGGCCGCGGAUGAGGAUGCGUAUGAUUAGGUAGUAGGCGGGGUAACGGCCCACCUAGCCUUCGAUCAUUAGGGGUUCUGAGAGGAAGGUCCCCCACACUGGAACUGAGACACGGUCCAGACUCCUACGGGAGGCAGCAGUGAGGAAUAUUGGUCAAUGGGCGAGAGCCUGAACCAGCCAAGUAGCGUGAAGGAAGACUGCCCUAUGGGUUGUAAACUUCUUUUGUUUGGGAAUAAAUGAUACUACGUGUAGUAUUUUGCAUGUACCUUACGAAUAAGCAUCGGCUAAUUCCGUG
rnacentral:rRNA from 1 species